rnacentral:lncRNA from 1 species
UUCCAGGUCAGGAAGAAGACAAGAACAAUAGGAAUGCGGGUCAAGAUGCCAGUCGGUCCUCUACUAUCACCAUCUGUGGUCACCAUGCUGGAGAUGAAGAACCGGAAACUCCUAAAUCAAAUAAGAAGAUGCUGUGGAUUCUUUUGCCAGUCUUGGGAGUUGUGGUGGCUGCUGUCAUCUUCAUUUUCAAAUUUAAAUGCAUGAAGGUCCACGAUCACACAGAGGCAAUUGAUAAUGGAACAGAAAAUGCCUCUUUCCAGAGCAGGUCGGACAGCACCAAAGAUGGUGUCAUGCUUCUCGGGGUGAAGUCCUCAGGUGCUGCUGCACGAUAAAAAGGAGGGCGUCCCAUUCUACAGUAUAUGACCAAUAGCUCUCACAACCCAAAAAAUGGUCAAGACCUUCAACUAUCUAAAAAUGCUGGACAAUCAAAUAUGGCGUAUAAGAAUCCCAAAAGCUAAGUGGGCACAUUCUUAUACUGUAUAGUGUGGAAAGAAGAUUGGUGUGGAGUAUUGUAGGAUAUGGGACUCUUAACUGAACAUGUGUCUGUUAAAAAAUGUUCACUAAGAUACUGUAUAUCAUUUCAAAAAUAUGUACUUCACUGUUUUUUGUAUUCUUAUUUUGAUGGUAAUUUAGCCAAGGAGGAACUGCGAUCUCAAUUUAAUCAAGACUAACAUCCAGACAUUUCAUUCAGGAAAACAAUGCAAGAUUUUGAAUGAAUAUAAAUAAAUUAACCCAAAAGCUCAUUGUCUGGGUGCAAGAGGAUUGUUUGUCUCAUCCCUGUAUUUAAGAUACUGGUUUUGAUUUUAUAUCACACAAACAUGUAUGAAAUCCAAAUGCAUUGAACCUGAAUUCAGCACACAAUUCCUUGGUUCAAACCAGUUAGUGACCAGUACACAUUAUUAAGUGUUUGUAUGCUUUAAAUCUGUUGUAAUAAAUGAUUUAGCUUUCAGUGUAAAUGCCAGGAUUGUAAAGAUUAGCUAUAUUGCCG